ensembl:lncRNA
CUAAAUGGUUGCUUCCUUCCAAGCAACAUAAGCCACAAAUAUGUGAACGGGGCGUCAUGACUUUACUGCAUGCUGAUAUUAAUUCUCAGGCCAUCCAACAAGAGCCCUGUGACAGCCAUUCUUGGCCAGCAUCUUGACCACGAGCAUAGCAACCAGGGCCCAGACUCGAGACCCUGGCUUCUCCGACUGGAACAUUUAUUUCCUGGUGACUCAAUCACACCAUCCCAUCUUGUAAAUUUCCUGCCAGGCUCAGAGUCCGUACCUUCCGCACCGUGGAGGAGUGGACGUCCAUUUCUCGGGAGCAGCGGACUGCUUCUGGCAGAUAGUCAAGGCCCAAGGGGUCCUGGCGCUCUGGAGUGGACUGACAGCCAACUUGCUAAAGAUAGUUCCGUAUUUCGGAGUUAUGUUUGGCACCUUUGAGUUUUGCAAGAGAAUCUGUCUUUACCAAAAUGGUUACACUGUGUCUCCUCUGAGCUAUCAAUUGACUCCAGGGGUGGAUCAGAGUUUGAAGCCCCAGGAAUUGCGGGAAUUUAAAAAGUUCUUCAAAACCAGACAGCUAAAGUCUAAGAAACCAACCCUUUAAAACUGAACGGAACAAGAAGUGCACUGACGGAAGGCGUGUUACAAUCCUGGAAAAGAUGUGGCCUCGUAAUUGUGUGUGCGUGCAGUGACGAGAGCGUCUGCCUGUCUGCUGCUCUCGGAAGCGAGAAGGUUCGGCGGUAUACCACCUCUGAGUUCCAAACUGAUGUCCUGGUGAACAUCUGUGCCGUGGGAGGCUUCCCAGCGUGACUCUUGCAUGGCGGCAUGCCACCCAAUUUAACAAAGCACCACUGUAAUGAAAUGUGCAAUGUACGUGUGCAACUUAAAUAACACCAAAGAAAUGGAAUCACCAUGACCUCAAAACAAAAUGUAGUUGAAGUGGCUGAGGAGAGAUACCACAUCAUGAGCUCAGCCACUGGGUCACAGCUUGCACAAACCCACACUGGCCGAGCUUUGCUCCAUUCGACCCAAGACUUCUGCACAUAGUUGUUCUGAAACGCCUAAUCCUUGCUGACUCCUGAGUGCACACGCUAUAGUUUAAAUGAUGCCUUGGCAGAAACUAAAUGAAAGCCUUUAACAUUUGGGGCGCCUGGGUGGCUAAGUUGGUUAAGCAGCCAACUUCAGCUCAGUUCAUGAUCUCGCAGUUCAUGAGUUCAAGCCCCGUGUCGGGCUCUCUGCUGACAGCUAGCUCAGAGCCUGGAGCCUGCUUCAGAUUCUGUGUCUCCUAUUCUCUCUGCCCUUCCCCUGCUCACACUCUGUCUCUCUGUCUCUCAAAAAUAAAUAAACAUUAAAAAAAUUUUUAUUAAAUAAAUAAAACCUUUAACCUUUAAAAAUUAUCACUGUCAUAGUAGAACCAUCCUUGUUUAUUUCAAUUUGAAGUAUCUCGGGGCGCCUGGGUGGUUCAGUCGGUUGAGUGUCCGACUUCAGAUUGGGUCCUGAUCUCAAGGUUCACGAGUUCGAGCCCCGCAUCAGGCCCUGUGCUGACAGCUCGGAGCCUGGAGCCUGCUUCAGAUUCUGUGUCUCCCUCUCUCUGCCCCUCCCCUGCUUGCACUGUGUGUGUGUGUGUGUGUGUGUGUGUGUGUGUGUGUGUUAAAAAUAAAUAAACAUUUAAAAAAAUUUAAUUUGAAGUAUCUCAAGCUUAGGAAUUUCAGGAAUCUUGUUUCAAGAAGGCGGUUUU